CACCUCUACAGGGCGGGGGAGGAGGAGGAGGAGGAGGAGGUGAAGAGGUUAAACACAGCAGUGUGGGAGAGAACAGUAACGGGUGUUUGUCAAACAGAAACUCUGAAUACAAAGACAUGUUAAACCAAGAAGCUGCAGGCCAACAGAUGAAGCUGCAGCUGGUACACACUCCACCCUCUGUCUACCACAGCUUCCUCCAUCAUUUCUCUUUCCUUAUCUCCACCCCCUCUUUCUGUCUGUCUUUCUGUCCUCCCUCCUGUCUGAUCCAUCAGAUCUUAAGAGGCUCUCUGUGAUGGAGGACGGAGUGGAGCCAGGAAAUGCUCCUCCCUGAAGUCUCUCCGUGCUCAUCAGUCUUUGUCCGAUUUAAUGACACGGUCAAACUUCAUGGCAGACAAAAGUAAAGUUCAACACUUUUGGACAAAUGGGAUAUCAGGAAAUACGAGAAGGCAGCGCUGAGGGCAGCCGUACCUGCGAGCGGCUGACCGUUGAUGCUCCAGGUGACGAUGGGCGUCGGGAUGCCUUCAGCCUGACAGUCCAGUCGCACAGUUUCCCCGGGAGAGUACAGCAGGUUGGCAGGCUCCUUCACCCAGUACGGAGCCGCUACAAACCGACGACAACAUUUACUGCUGCAGCCACGCAACAGCCAAACGUAUGCACAGCCCACCUUCCACAGCGACCGUGAAGGAGUGUGUGGCCGACCCGUGGCUGUUGAAGGCCCUACACUCGUACUCGCCGUCAUCUUCCAGGGUGAUGCUGUCAAAGUGGAGCCAGCGGUUGUGGUUUUCGGGUUUG